UUGACUUUCUGUCCCGACGGCGUGUCCAUGUUCGUGCUGUCAGUUGAGAAAGACG
ensembl:miRNA